rnacentral:lncRNA from 1 species
CCUGUUCUUCCUAAGUGCUGUUCAAGUCACCAGCAGCUCAGAAAACCAUCGAACAUCGGAGAAUGGCCACUGCACACAUUAAUGCUUCCACUGCUGCCCUUUGACGGUUUUUGUACCUAUUCAUGCUGUUUCAGGUUCAGUGUUGUCAUCUCACACUGGACUCCUGUUCUCCAACAAGUGACUGUGUAAACGGGGAGGAGAGAAAUCGCAAGGUUUCUAACAAUUAUCUGCAGCUUUCUUACCAAGACCCAGUAGCCUGCAGAAGAGAACGCCUCCAAUUUCCUGCCCUCUCAUUGGCAUGGCCUACACCCUCACUGUGUGACCUCAGGGCUGCACAUUUCCCUCUGUGGACUUUCAUCUCCCUGGCUCCAGGCACAGUCAACACUCCAUUGUUUCCAUUUGCUUCGAUGUAUCAACGUAUUGACCCACGUGGGCACCAGCUUGGGUGAUAGUGGAUGAGACAGCAUCAGUAUCUUGGAGUAAGUAAGAGUUCGGCUCUGGAUCCAAAGUGCCGAGGUUCAAACCCUAAGGCCACAAAUCGCCAGGUGUGUGUGGCCCCUAUGUGGGUCACUCAAAUACCCAAUGGUUCAAUUUCCUCAACUCUUUAAUGCUGAUGAUAUUAAUUGAUGGUAAUAUUGAUGAAAUAAUAUUAAUAGGUACUAAAAGAGUUUACACUAUGUAAUUGAUGUCAGGAUUAACCAAGUUAAAAAUCUAUAAAGCACUUUGAUCAGAGGUGGUCGCGCUGAAAUUCCUCAAUCCCUGUCAGUCAUACUUAUCUUGGCUACAUUUUCUGAAAAGGAUGAGGAUGUGGCAGCAUAAAAUAAUAAAUUUUAAAAGACUUUGUCA